CCUACGGGAGGCAGCAGUGGGGAAUAUUGCGCAAUGGGCGAAAGCCUGACGCAGCGACGCCGCGUGAGGGAUGAAGGUCUUCGGAUCGUAAACCUCUGUCAGCAGGGAAGUACGGUCACUGUGCUAAUCAGCAGUGAAUUGACGGUACCUGCAAAGGAAGCACCGGCUCACUCCGUGCCAGCAGCCGCGGUAAUACGGAGGGUGCGAGCGUUAAUCGGAAUUACUGGGCGUAAAGCGCUCGUAGGCGGUAUGUCAAGUCAAGGGUGAAAGUCCCGCGCUCAACGUGGGAACUGCAUUUGAAACUGGCAACCUGGAGUGUGUGAGAGGAUAGUGGAAUUCGAGGUGUAGGAGUGAAAUCCGUAGAUAUCUGGAGGAACAUCAGUGGCGAAGGCGACUAUCUGGCACAUAACUGACGCUGAGGAGCGAAAGCGUGGGUAGCAAACAGGAUUAGAUACCCCAGUAGUC
rnacentral:rRNA from 1 species